AGAGACUGCAAGCGUUAUUCGGAUUCACUGGGCGUAAAGGGUGCGCAGGCGGCCAUGUGUGUGAGGCGUGAAAGCCCGAUGCUUAACAUCGGAAUUGCACCUCAAACUACAUGGCUAGAGCAUUGGAGAGGGUAGCGGAAUUCACGGUGUAGCAGUGAAAUGCGUAGAUAUCGUGAGGAACACCAGAGGCGAAGGCGGCUACCUGGACAAUUGCUGACGCUCAGGCACGAAAGCGUGGGGAGCAAAAGGGAUUAGAUACCCCUGUAGUCCACGCCCUAAACGGUGCACACUAGGUCUUGGCGGAUUCGACCCCACCAGGGCCCAAGCUAACGCGUUAAGUGCGCCGCCUGAGGACUACGGUCGCAAGACUA
rnacentral:rRNA from 1 species